rnacentral:lncRNA from 1 species
UGAGGAGGUGCUAUCCUAGUUACUGUGGAUAGGUGACAACGCGAAAGGAUAGGCUUCGAGUGGGGCCACGGAUGGUGCUAUCCUAGUGGCUAUGGAUAGGACCUCGACGCGGAGUAGCAGUUAGCGGACAAGGCUGGUCUACUGUGUUGUGCCAGUCUAGCUCGUUGGCUAGUCAGAUAGGGAGAGCCAACGACAUAUUGCCACACUAUAGUUGUCGAUUUCGCCUCCAAGACAUGUUAGUGGC